rnacentral:RNase_P_RNA from 1 species
UUCGGAGUGUGGGCGUUCGCUUGGUCGUAAGAUUGAGAGGAAAGUCCGGACACCGUAGGGCAGGAUUCCCUGUGAAAGCAGGGGCGCGCUGGGGUAACCUUGCGUGACGGACAGUGUCACAGAAAAUAAACCGCCUGGAACCCGCUUAGCGGGAGAAGGGUAAGGGUGAAAUGGGGAGGUAAGAGCUCACCGCUCCUGAGGUAACGAGGGAGGCAGGAUAAACCCAAUCCGGUGCAAGGCAAAAUAGGGGAUCGGGCGGCCCGUCCAAUGAUUCCGGGUAUGUCGCACCCCGCCUCGGCGGGGAUGUCGCUCCGGCGGCAUAGAUAAAUGAACGCACAGCCCAGCGCUUCGGCGCCGGGCGGACAAAAUCCGGCUUACAGCACUUCGGAAUCG